rnacentral:rRNA from 1 species
GGUCAAGCUAUAAAGGGCUUACGGUGGAUACCU